rnacentral:rRNA from 1 species
GACAGACAGUGCGGGCGUUAUUCGGAUUGACUGGGCGUAAAGGGUACGUAGGUGGCUAAAAUAACUGUGUUCGAAAAGCUAGAGCAUAACUGUAGAUAUGAACAUACCGAUUUUUGGGCUAAGAGUUAAGCAGAGGUUGGAAUAAUUUCUAGUGUAAGAGUAAAAUCUAACAAUAUUAGAAGGAAUACCAAGGGCGAAAGCAUCUUUCUGGGCUUAACUGACGCUGAGGUACGGAGGCGUGGGUAGCAAACAGG